UUCAGGAUGCUGUGGAACGUAAGAAUGCCAGUUUGG
rnacentral:sRNA from 1 species